ensembl:lncRNA
UGUGCGUGUGUGUGUGUGUGAAAGCAUGUGUUGGGAUAGUGUAUGUGGGUGUCCGUGUGUGUGUGUGAAGGGAUGUGUUGGGCUAGUGUGUGUGUGUGUGUGUGUGUGUGUGAAGGGAUGUGAUUGUGUUAGUGUGUGUGUGAAGGGAUGUUUUGUGAUAGUGCGUGUGUAUGUGUGUGAAGGGAUAUGGGUGUGUGUGUGUGUGUGAAGGGCUGUGUUGUGAUUGUGUGUGUGUGUGUGAAGGGGUAUGUUGAGAUAGUGCAUGUGUGUGUGUGAAGGGAUGUGUUGUGUUAGUGUGUAUGUGAAGGAGUGUAUUGGGGUAGUGCGUGUGUGUGUGAAGGGCUGUGUUGUGAUUGUGUGUGUGAAGGAAUGUGUGGGAUUGUUUGUAAAGGGCUGUAUUGUGAUAGUGUGUGUUUAUGUGUGUGUGAAGGGAUGUGUGUGAUUCUGUGUGUGUGUGAAGGGAUGUGUUGUGUUAGUGUGUAUGUGAAGGAGUGUAUUGGGGUAGUGCGUGUGUGUGUGAAGGGCUGUGUUGUGAUUGUGUGUGUGAAGGAAUGUGUGUGAUUGUUUGUGAAGGGCUGUGUUGUGAUUGUGUGUGUGUGUGAUUGUGAAGGGCUGUGUUGUGAUUGUGUGUGUGUGUGUGAAGGGAUAUGUGUGAUUGUGUGUGUGUGUGAAGGGCUGUGUUGUGAUUGUGUGUGUGUGUGUGUGUGAAGGGCUGUGUUGUGAUUGUGUGUGUGUGUGUGUGUGUGAAGGGCUGUGUUGUGAUUGUGUGUGUGUGUAAAGGGAUGUGUGUGAUUGUGUGUGUGUGAAGGGCUGUGUUGUGAUAGUGUGUGAUUCUGUGUGUGAGUGAAAGGCUGUGUUAUGAUAGUGUGUGUGUGUGUGUGGCUGUGUUGUGAUUGUGUGUGUGUGAGUGAACGGAUGUGUGUGAUUGUGUGUGUGUGUGUGUGUGAAGGGAUGUGUGUCAUUGUGUGUGUGUGUGUGUGUGUGUGUGUGAAGGGCUGUGUGUGAUUGUUUGUGAAGGGCUGUGUUGUGACUGUGUGUGUGUAUGUAUGAAGGGAUGUGUGUGAUUGUGAAAGGCUGUGUUGUGAUUGUGUGUGUGUGUGUGUGAAGGGCUGUGCUGUGAGUGUGUGUGUGUGUAUGAAGGGCUGUGUGUGAUUGUUUGUGAAGGGCUGUGUUGUGACUGUGUGUGUGUGUGUGAAGGGAUGUGUUGUGAUUGUGUGUGUGUGUGAAGGGCUGUGUUGUGAUUGUGUGUGUGUGCAUGAAGGGCUGUGUUGUGAUUGUGUGUGUGUGUGUGCGUGAAGGGCUGUGUGUGAUUGUGAAGGGAUGUGUGUGGUUGUGCGUGUGUGUGUGUGUGAAGGGAUAUGUGUGAUUGUGCAUGUGUGUGUGUGUGAAGGGCUGUGUUGUGAUUAUGUGUGUGUGUGUGAGUGAAGGGAUGUGUGUGAUUGUGUGUGUGUGAAGGGCUGUGUUAUGAUAGUGUGUGUGUGUGUGUGUGUGAAGGGAUAUGUGUGAUUGUGCAUGUGUGUGUGUGUGAAGGGCUGUGUUGUGAUUAUGUGUGUGUGUGUGAGUGAAGGGAUGUGUGUGAUUGUGUGUGUGUGAAGGGCUGUGUUAUGAUAGUGCGUGUGUGUGUGUGUGAAGGGAUAUGUGUGAUUGUGCAUGUGUGUGUGUGUGAAGGGCUGUGUUGUGAUUAUGUGUGUGUGUGUGAGUGAAGGGAUGUGUGU